GAUGAACGCUGGCGGCGUGCCUAAUACAUGCAAGUCGAGCGAACGGACGAGAAGCUUGCUUCUCUGAUGUUAGCGGCGGACGGGUGAGUAACACGUGGAUAACCUACCUAUAAGACUGGGAUAACUUCGGGAAACCGGAGCUAAUACCGGAUGAUAUUUUGAACCGCAUGGUUCAAAAGUGAAAGACGGUCUUGCUGUCACUUAUAGAUGGAUCCGCGCUGCAUUAGCUAGUUGGUAAGGUAACGGCUUACCAAGGCAACGAUGCAUAGCCGACCUGAGAGGGUGAUCGGCCACACUGGAACUGAGACACGGUCCAGACUCCUACGGGAGGCAGCAGUAGGGAAUCUUCCGCAAUGGGCGAAAGCCUGACGGAGCAACGCCGCGUGAGUGAUGAAGGUCUUCGGAUCGUAAAACUCUGUUAUUAGGGAAGAACAUAUGUGUAAGUAACUGUGCACAUCUUGACGAUACCUAAUCAGAAAGCCACGGCUAACUACGUG
rnacentral:rRNA from 1 species